rnacentral:rRNA from 1 species
AUUGAACGCUGGCGGCAUGCCUUACACAUGCAAGUCGAACGGCAGCACGGACUUCGGUCUGGUGGCGAGUGGCGAACGGGUGAGUAAUGUAUCGGAACGUACCUUUCAGUGGGGGGAUAACGUAGCGAAAGUUACGCUAAUACCGCAUAUUCUGUGAGCAGGAAAGCAGGGGAUCGCAAGACCUUGCGCUGAUUGAGCGGCCGAUAUCAGAUUAGCUAGUUGGUGGGGUAAAGGCCUACCAAGGCGACGAUCUGUAGCGGGUCUGAGAGGAUGAUCGCCACACUGGAACUGAGACACGGUCCAGACUCCUACGGGAGGCAGCAGUGGGGAAUUUUGGACAAAUGGGGGCAACCCUGAUCCAGCCAUGCCGCGUGAGUGAAGAAGGCCU